rnacentral:tRNA from 1 species
GCGCUCGUAGCUCAGCUGGAUAGAGCAACGGCCUUCUAAGCCGUAGGUCACAGGUUCGAAUCCUGUCGGGCGUA